GACGAACCGUGCGAACGUUAUUCGGAAUCACUGGGCUUAAAGCGCGUGUAGGCGGGUCGGUGCGUCGGCCGCUGAAAGCCCCCGGCUCAACCGGGGAAGCGGCGCCGAUACGGCCGGCCUGGAGGGGGUAGGGGGACCUGGAACUUCCGGUGGAGCGGUGAAAUGCGUAGAUAUCUGGAGGAACACCGGUGGCGAAGGCGGCAUCCUGGACCGGCAUUGACGCUGAGGCGCGAAAGCCAGGGGAGCAAACGGG
rnacentral:rRNA from 1 species